GACGAACGCUGGCGGCGUGCUUAACACAUGCAAGUCGAACGGAAAGGCCCUUCGGGGUACUCGAGUGGCGAACGGGUGAGUAACACGUGGGUGAUCUGCCCUGCACUUUGGGAUAAGCCUGGGAAACUGGGUCUAAUACCGAAUAGGACCACGCGCUUCAUGGUGUGUGGUGGAAAGCUUUUGCGGUGUGGGAUGGGCCCGCGGCCUAUCAGCUUGUUGGUGGGGUAAUGGCCUACCAAGGCGACGACGGGUAGCCGGCCUGAGAGGGUGACCGGCCACACUGGGACUGAGGUACGGCCCAGACUCCUACGGGAGGCAGCAGUGGGGAAUAUUGCACAAUGGGCGCAAGCCUGAUGCAGCGACGCCGCGUGAGGGAUGACGGCCUUCGGGUUGUAAACCUCUUUCAAUAGGGACGAAGCGCGAGUGACGGUACCUAUAGAAGAAGCACCGGCCAACUACGUG
rnacentral:rRNA from 1 species